UACGAAGGGUGCAAGCGUUACUCGGAAUCACUGGGCGUAAAGCGUGCGUAGGCGGUUCGUUAAGUCUGCUGUGAAAGCCCUGGGCUCAACCUGGGAACUGCAGUGGAUACUGGCGGACUAGAGUGUGAUAGAGGAUGGUGGAAUUCCCGGUGUAGCGGUGAAAUGCGCAGAUAUCAGGAGGAACACCGAUGGCGAAGGCAGCUCGCUGGGACGGUACUGACGCUGAGGCGCGAAAGCGUGGGGAGCAAACAGG
rnacentral:rRNA from 1 species